rnacentral:tRNA from 1 species
GCUGUGGUAGCUCAGACAGUAAGGGCAUCUAGUUUCUGACCAGAGGGUCUUGGGUUCAAUCCCAGUUGGGGCA